GAUGAAGAACGCAGCGAAAUGCGAUAAGUAGUGUGAAUUGCAGAAUUCAGUGAAUCAUCGAAUCUUUGAACGCACAUUGCGCCCCUUGGUAUUCCGAGGGGCAUGCCUGUUCGAGCGUCAUUAUAACCCUCAAGCUCAGCUUGGUGUUGGGGCCUGCUGCACUGGCAGCCCUUAAAAUCAGUGGCGGCGCCAUCUGGCUCUAAGCGUAGUAAUUCUUCUCGCUAUGGAGUCCUGGUGGAUGCUUGCCAUCAACCCCCAAUUUUUCUAUGGUUGACCUCGGAUCAGGUAGGGAUACCCGCUGAACUUAAGCAUAUCAAUAAGCGGAGGA
rnacentral:misc_RNA from 1 species